rnacentral:rRNA from 1 species
UACGUAGGGCGCAAGCGUUGUCCGGAAUUAUUGGGCGUAAAGAGCUCGUAGGCGGUUUGUCGCGUCUGUCGUGAAAGCUUGGGGCUUAACCCCAAGUCUGCGGUGGAUACGGGCAGACUAGAGGCAGGUAGGGGAGAACGGAAUUCCCGGUGUAGCGGUGAAAUGCGCAGAUAUCGGGAGGAACACCGGUGGCGAAGGCGGCAUUCUGGACCGAUAUUGACGCUGAGGAGCGAAAGCCAGGGGAGCAAACGGG